UACGUAGGGGGCAAGCGUUGUCCGGAUUUAUUGGGCGUAAAGAGCGUGUAGGCGGCCAUGCAGGUCCGUUGUGAAAACUCGAGGCUCAACCUCGAGACGUCGAUGGAAACCGCAUGGCUAGAGUCCGGAAGAGGAGAGUGGAAUUCCUGGUGUAGCGGUGGAAUGCGCAGAUAUCAGGAGGAACACCUAUAGCGAAGGCAGCUUGCUGGGACGUAACUGACGCUAAGGCGCGAAAGCGUGGGGAGCGAACAGG
rnacentral:rRNA from 1 species